ACGCGUGAUUUUUGCUUAAAUGGGGGAUUCUCGAAGAGAAAACGCGUGAUUUUCGCUUAAAUGGGGGAUUUGCGAAGAGAAAACGCGUGAUUUUCGCUUAAAUGGGGGAUUCUCGAAGAGAAAACGCGUGAUUUUUGCUUAAUUGGGGGAUUUGCGAAGAGAAAACGCGUGAUUUUCGCUUAAAUGGGGGAUUUGCGAAGAGAAAACGCGUGAUUUUUGCUUAAUUAGGGGAUUUGCGAAGAGAAAACGCGUGAUUUGUGGCUUAAAUGUGGGAUUAUUGAACAGGAAACGCG
rnacentral:lncRNA from 1 species